rnacentral:rRNA from 1 species
UCGAGGAUUUUUCUCAAUGGGGGCAACCCUGAAGGAGCGACGCCGCGUGGAGGAUGAAGGCUUUCGGGUUGUAAACUCCUGUCAUCGGGGAACAAGGCCCCUGCCUGCAAAGGGCGGGGGCGUGCGAGUACCCGAAGAGGAAGAGACGGCUAACUCUGUGCCAGCAGCCGCGGUAAUACAGAGGUCUCAAGCGUUGUUCGGAUUCAUUGGGCGUAAAGGGCGCGUAGGCGGCGGGGUCAGUCGGGUGUGAAAUCUUGGGGCUUAACCCCGAAACGGCACUCGAAACUGCCCGGCUGGAGGGCCGGAGAGGAGAUCGGAAUUCACGGUGUAGCAGUGAAAUGCGUAGAGAUCGUGAGGAAGACCCGUGGCGAAGGCGGAUCUCUGGACGGCUAACUGACGCUGAGGCGCGAAGGCCAGGGGAGCAAACG